UAGAAAUCAAGCGUGCAUGCGUGGGUGCGUAGUCGUGUCUGACCCUUUGCUACCCAGUGGCCUGUAGCCCACCAGGCUCCUCUGUCCGUGGGAUUUCCCAGGCAGGAAUCCUGGAGUGGGUUGCCAUUUGCUCCUCCAGGGGACCUUCCCCACCCGAAGGAAACCGCAUCUCUUGUGUCUGCUGCAUUGGCAUAUGGAUUCUUCACCAUUGGCACCUCCUGAGAAGUUCCAAAAUGGUGAAGUGGAGUUUUAGAGAAUGGUGUGAAGGAAGACGUUUGUCUGGCACUUGUCUUUGCCCCAGUACUUUUCCCUCUAUGGUAGAGCAGUGCCUCACAGCCCUGAGAACAAAGUCACGUGCCAAGGAUGAAAGAGAAGGAAAGAGAUGCAGCCACCAUGUAAGCCCUGGACUGUCCUGCAUAUUACCUAGUCUUCCAGGAUUCCCCAAGCUGACAUCAAAACCACCCAUCUCUCGAUUCUUUUGGCGCUUUCUGUUUAUAUCUUUGGAGACUGGGAUCAUCGGCCUAAGGCAGACUCCAUCUGGGCCACGUGUAGAAUGAAUACAGUAUGAGUUUUGUGUGUGUGUGUUCUUUUGUUUGACUUGUGGUUUUUGAAAGUUUUGAAUUUGUUUUGAACAUUUCCAAAAUUGGCAAAUUUCCUGUAUACAUCCACUGUUCCAGUUUCUCUUGCAAAAUCGGAAAGAUCUGGCAAUGCCCCAUCCACGCUUCCAUGUGGCCGGAGCCGAGUGGUGGCUGCUUUCUAUAGAAGGAGCCUGUGCCCUGUGGUUUUCCAGUGUCUCUACAACCCCCUGUGUUACCUCUCUGGUCCUGGAGACCUUGGAUACACCACCCAGGCCUAAGGAAGAACCAGGCCUAUGGAACUCUGUACAAACCACUUAACAUGGUAAGCAGGCGGAGGUCAUUGCAGAGACUCUCCCAACCAGUGCUGAAUCAAAGAAUGAGCUUAUGGGUGUGGUCAAAGCCAAGAAGAUAGAGCGCAGCUCCGCAGGCUUUAGAGGACCAGGGACGUCGCCAUGGAAGUUGCAGUUGGCUUUGGGACGGUCUGACUGACAGUGGACAGGGAUUCCCCAGGAUGGCAGUGCUGUGCAACGACUGGUAUCGUCUGGGAAGGGACCCCCAUGACGUGACUGUGGCAGUCUAUGCAGUGGCAGUUUCCUUGCACAAAAGUACCAGAACCACAGGAAAGCAGGGAUCCCGUGGGAGUUCCACCUUUCUUCAAGGGCUCCGGGUGCUCAUCAAUGCCACUGCUGUUGAACAAGGCAGGGGCAGGGGCUCUGGCUUCGGAAACCUUCACAGUGGCCUCAAUUUGACCAGCCACUCCUAUCCUCUCUUGUAUUGAUUUGCAAUAUCUACUUUAUCUCUUCAGUUAGACAGUUACUUUCUGUGGACUGGGGAAAUACCAGGUUGGCCAAAAAGUUCGCUUGGGUUUUUCCAUGCCAUCUUACAGAAAAACCCAAACCUUUUCGGCCAACCCAAUACGUUAUGUUUCUCUUGUUACCUUCUAAGACCGACUGCUAUAUGUUAGACAAACAGCUUGUACUCCUUAUUUGUUCUAAAUUGAAUCAGCGUGCUGUCUUCAGUAUCCUAAGUAAGAUCAUACAAACGGCUGAGCGGUCGUGGCAGGAACUACACUGCGGUCAUAGGACCUUCAACUCGGCCCCUGCCUUGCUGUCUGUGUUAUUAGCCUGGACCUGUUUGACCCCUGCCAGGCUGGAGCAUCCACAGAGUGUAAAAACUCUCUAAGCUAUAGAUCAAGAAGCAUUCCAAAGUACUGUUCAAUAGUAAUGGGAGUGGUCUGCCGGCUCACCUGAUUACACCUGGGAACAGGUAUUACAUGGCUAUUGUAUUCUCUGUGGGAUUUUGAGGUUAAAAGAUUUCAGAGCGCAGAUCUUCUCUCUGAAGACUGUAUGGUUUCAAACAGCAACCAGCCAACUGUCAAGAGGGAUGUGUACCUACACUCACAUAGGAUUCUAGUGGAAAUGAGCUCAGGCAUCUAUGAGAAGGAAGAGUCCUCUGUUACUGUAAACACGGCUUCAUUAGCCUUGCCUCUCUUUAGUUUACACCCCGCCUUCUAAUUAUGCCCUAAUUUGGAUGGUACAAACAUCUAACAAUUCCUCCACCAACAGCUUUUCCAAUUAGUAAGAAAAUCAGUGGCAGAUGUGAAAUCCGUGGGAAGCUGAAUGUAAAAUGUUAAUUAAUUUUAAAAAACUGUAAAGCCUCUGGAAAACCUUUUCUGAGAAAACUUCGUAUGGUGAUCUCAUUAACACAGACCAUGGAAUAGCUUUUUCUUUUAUCGUGCUACCCUUUGAGUCUGAUUCUUAGCAUUUCCAGAUUCUUCUCUGAGUCUGAAGCUGUUUGGGAAAUUUAUUAACUCUUCAAUCACUGGCUAAGUGACCCUGGAAUUGGUUACUCUGAUAUCUUUGACCAAGUAUCUGACUGUCCUGUCUGGCAAUCAACAAGGUCCUGCCCCCUGCCCCCCGACUCCUACCUUUACCACAUAGCAAUGUGAGAAAAGCCACAGAGUCAAUGAGGGUAAAUGAUGAGGGUCUGGGUCUCUCCUUAGGGGGUUUAUCUUAUAUUCCAAAAGGUCUCAAGACCCUCAGGUUACCCCUGAGAAUUUGUGCAACAGAAUUGUCCCCAAAGAUGGUAUAAAUGAGAACAAUGUCUCUGCCUCCUGGUUUAUUGGGUUUCAUGCUUUCAGGGACCAGCUGGGGACCAGCUGGUCAGUAAGUCAGUCUAUCUAAGUGGAAAAAGGAGUUACAAGACUUAAAAAUGGAGAGGGUCAUUUUUAGUCACCCCU